UACGGAGGGUGCGAGCGUUAAUCGGAAUUACUGGGCGUAAAGCGUGCGUAGGCGGACUGUUAAGUCAGAUGUGAAAGCCCCGGGCUUAACCUGGGAACUGCAUUUGAUACUGGCAAUCUAGAAUGUAGUAGAGGGGGGUAGAAUUCCUAGUGUAGCGGUGAAAUGCGUAGAUAUUAGGAGGAAUACCAGUGGCGAAGGCGGCCCCCUGGACUAACAUUGACGCUGAGGUACGAAAGCGUGGGGAGCAAACAGG
rnacentral:rRNA from 1 species